AUGAGAGGGUUCGAGAGGAGAGGCGUCCGGCAGUACAACCGGUCCGACGAGCCACGUAUGCGGUGGACGGAGGAGCUGCACCGGCAGUUCAUCGAGGCGGUCGACUGCCUUGGCGGCCAGGACGAGGCAACACCAAAGCGAAUUCUUCAGCUGAUGGGCACAAAGGGGGUCAGCAUAUCUCACAUCAAGAGCCAUCUUCAGAUGCAUAGGUCAAGCUCUAGCAGCAGCAACAACAACAAUAACAACAACAACAACAACAAUAACCCACCCCACGUGUCAGCGAAUCGUUGCCAAGGUCACUGCAUCGAUGGCAACAACACAAGAACAACGUCUUCAGACAGGAUCAACGCUCCCUCUAACGUCGUGUUUCACCGUGGCCACCACUCGACGUUGCCACCGUGCCAAAUGCCAUCGAUCGAAGAGGUUUUUAGGAGCUGGGAGGAGAGUAAAAAGCGGCUGCCAUGGAACUCCACCAGCAUGCUAAUUACACCAGAAAAGGCGACUGGCUGGUCUCGUCACACCGACGACAAGAUGCGCCAGAAGAAGCAGCAACCAGCAGCGGGGUGUGACCUAACGUUGUCGAUCGGCCGGUGGGGAAUCAGAGGCGACAGCGACGCUGACAUCUCGAGCACGACCACUGAGGAGGCCGCUGCGCUGGCAAGGGGUCGAGAUCUGAACCUUGACUUGAACCUCGACAUCGCCAUCUCAUCUUCUCGGCUCUGA
rnacentral:rRNA from 1 species